rnacentral:rRNA from 1 species
AUUGAACGAGGGAGGAAGGGAGAACACAUGCAAGUCGAGCGGAUGAAGGGAGCUUGCUCCUGGAUUCAGCGGCGGACGGGUGAGUAAUGCCUAGGAAUCUGCCUGGUAGUGGGGGAUAACGUCCGGAAACGGGCGCUAAUACCGCAUACGUCCUGAGGGAGAAAGUGGGGGAUCUUCGGACCUCACGCUAUCAGAUGAGCCUAGGUCGGAUUGGCUAGUUGGUGGGGUAAAGGCCUACCAAGGCGACGAUCCGUAGCUGGUCUGAGAGGAUGAUCAGUCACACUGGAACUGAGACACGGUCCAGACUCCUACGGGAGGCAGCAGUGGGGAAUAUUGGACAAUGGGCGAAAGCCUGAUCCAGCCAUGCCGCGUGUGUGAAGAAGGUCUUCGGAUUGUAAAGCACUUUAAGUUGGGAGGAAGGGCAGUAAGUUAAUACCUUGCUGUUUUGACGUUACCAACAGAAUAAGCAUCGGCUUACUUCGUU